GCCUCGGUAGCUCAAUGGUAGAGCAGUUGACUCUUAAUCAAUUGGUUCCUGGUUCGAGUCCAGGCCGGGGCA
rnacentral:tRNA from 1 species